ensembl:lncRNA
AUGCAGAGCCCACAAUCUAUGAAUGGCAGGUACUCCCAUUUGGCACCACCUGCAGUCCUUGCUGUGCCAUAUACGCAGAGACACGCACGGGAGCAUUCAGACAGUGACCCAGAAGUAUUGGAUUCAAUGGAAAAUGCCUUCUAUGUGGAUAACUGCUUACAGAGCGUCCCAUCCACGGCUGAAGCGAAAGCACUCCGUGAUAAAGUACGGAAUCUCCUGUCCAAAGGGGGAUUUGAGGUCCGACAGUGGGCUAGUAACAGAGCGGAGGUUAUCCAGCACCUCUCGCCACAAGCUAGGUCCAGUAGCAGUGAACUAUGGCUAACACAGUCUGGUGCUAUCCCAGAAGAGCCCACUCUAGGACUGAGGUGGAGCUGCAUACCGGAUACCCUGGGGUAUAAGCACCGCUCAUCCCCGAGUACCGAAACACCCACUCUGCGCACCAUCUAUCGGACCCUGGCCAGUCAAUACGAUCCCCUUGGGUAUAUCCUGCCAUACACAACACGGGCCAAAGUCUUAGUCCAGGACCUGUGGCAGACCAAGAGGGACUGGGAUGAACCAAUCCACCCGGCUGACCUAGUGGAACGAUGGAUCUGUUGGGAAACUGAGUUAACGGAGCUCUCUGAUGUCCAAAUGCCAAGAUGUUAUGUACCAUCCUGUGCUAACCAACUGGGAUCAUGCCUGGAACUGCAUGUGUUCUGUGACGCUUCAGAGAGAGCUUAUGGGGCGGUUUCCUAUCUUAGAGUGGAGGAUAAGGCAGGCCACACCCAUGUCUCCUUUGUCAUGGCCAGGUCCAGGGUCGCACCUAAGAAGCAGUUGUCAAUGCCUAGGCUGGAACUCAGUGCUGCCCUUUCCGGAGCCCAGUUGGCCUCUACCUUGCGAGCCGAGCUCACCUUGCCAAUCCAACGGGUCAUCUACUGGAGUGAUUCGACCACUGUAUUGACCUGGCUCAAGUCGGAGUCCUGCAGGUAUAAGGUGUUCGUCGGAACUUGCAUUGCGGAAAUCCAAGACCUAACAGAAGUCCAGGACUGGAGGUAUGUUGAUAGCAUAAACAAUCCUGCUGAUGACAUUACUAGAGGUAAAACCUUUCAGGAACUGGCUCAACCCCAUUGCUGGAGCUUGGGACCACCAUUCUUGUCCCAACCAGAGAACGAGUGGUCGACAGCCCCCAGGCGUGCGGCCCCUCCGCAACCAACUGAAGCUCAUGAGUUAAGGAAGUCCGCCCAAUGCUACAGCAUCUCUACGGAACCAACAACGGCUCUCCCUGACCUAACACAAUCUCAAACACUGCCGGAUCUGAUCGCCGCCACAAACCAGACCUCAGAUGGGGUGGCUUCCAUACCCACUUCCCUCACGGCAGAGACACUACUCCUCCAGCAAGCACAAGCGGUUAGCUUCCCUGUGGAGUUAAAAGCUCUGAAAGCCGGUAGGGAAGUGGCUAAGGACAGCCGUCUUCUCUCCCUUGCCCCAGAAUAUGAUCCAAUCCUUGGAGUGAUCAGAGUCGGAGGGAGGCUGCGCCAAGCAGAGGUUUUGGACCCAGAUGCUAUCCACCUAAUUAUCCUUGACACCAGACACCCUCUUACCAGGCUCCUCAUCAAGAGUUAUGAUGAGAGGCUUCUCCACCCAGGGCCAGAGAGGGUCUAUGGGGAGAUGAGGCAGAGGUACUGGAUAAUUGGAGGACGAGGAGCCAUUCGUAAGCACCAAUACGCCUGCGUAGAAUGUCAGAGAUGGCGGUCCGGAGCUACGGUGCCCAAAAUGGCAGAUUUACCCCCUGCUCGCUUGCGCCCCUUAAACCACCCUUCUGGUCAACAGGAGUAG